GAUGAACGCUGGCGGUAUGCCUAACACAUGCAAGUCGUACGAGAGUUUUUUAACUCUAGUGGCGACGGGUGAGUAACACGUGAGAAUUUGCCUUUUAGGAGGGGGACAACAAUUGGAAACGAAUGCUAAUACCCCAUAUGCUUUCGAGUGAAAUGGAUUUUAUCCGCCUAGAGAGAAGCUCGCGGCUGAUUAGCUUGUUGGUAAGGUAAGAGCUUACCAAGGCGACGAUCAGUAUCUGGUUUGAGAGGACGAUCAGACACACUGGAACUGAGACACGGUCCAGACUCCUACGGGAGGCAGCAGUGGGGAAUUUUCCGCAAUGGGCGAAAGCCUGACGGAGCAAUACCGCGUGAGGGAAGAAUGCCUAUGGGUUGUAAACCUCUUUUUUCAGGGAGGAAUAAAAUGACGUGUACCUGAAGAAUAAGCAUCGGCUAACUCCGUG
rnacentral:rRNA from 1 species